rnacentral:rRNA from 1 species
UUUGUCAUGCUUACACCGGCAGACGGCAUCACUUGCUCCUCCUUCUUGCUAUUGGUGGCCGAUCUGAGAAGCUACAAUGGACAGAGGCAGACCAUGAGGAUCAGAACGGCCAGAUCAGGUGCCGCCGGCUGGGGACCUGCCACUGGUCCUGCAAAUGUUGGCCUCACAUUGAUUCCGGACCUCGAGAAAAAAGAUGCAAUAGUUCUUCCGGGUGGAAUCAUUCACUGGCUCGUUCAGUAUUGCUAUGGAAUCCUUCAAUAUGAUGUCUCCACAACAAAGGCAGGUACGCUAAAGCUUCCACCUAUCACCAGAAACAACGCAAACAGGCGCAACCUAGGGUUGGGAAUGUCGCCGGGCGGGAGGUUGCGCUUACUCGUCCUAGAUAUGUUCAAGAUUUCUAUGUGGCUACAAGUCUCACCCAAAGAUGGUGGUUGGGAGCCGGAGGCCAUAAUCGACACCGAGGAGAAGUUGCAGUUGCUGGUUCCUAACAUCCAGGCUAUGAUAAACCCUAGUUAUGUGUCCAUCGAGUUCAUGUAUUCCGGAGAAAGGAGCGGUGUGGUGUUGCUGCGUGUAAAUUCCCUAGUCAUCAUUCUUGAUGUGGAGACAAAGGAGAUGCACCAUCAAGAUUAUUCCGCCAACUCCACAUUGUUGGGGGUUGAUCUGCUAUCACGACUACAGACCAUGAAAAUAUUU